GUCUACGGCCAUACUACCCUGAGCGCACCAGAUCUCGGAAGCUAAGCAGGAUCUGUCCUGGUUAGUGCUUGGAUGGGAGACCACUUGGGAUUACUGGGUACUGUAUGCU
rnacentral:rRNA from 1 species